GAUGAAGAACGUAGCGAAAUGCGAUAAGUAAUGUGAAUUGCAGAAUUCAGUGAAUCAUCGAAUCUUUGAACGCACAUUGCGCCCCUUGGUAUUCCGAGGGGCAUGCCCGUUCGAGCGUCAUUAUACCCCUCAAGCCUAGCUUGGUGUUGGGGCCUGCUGUUACCGGCAGCCCUUAAAAUCAGUGGCGGUGCCAUCUGGCUCUAAGCGUAGUAAUACUUCUCGCUACAGGGUCCCGGUGGAUGCUUGCCAUCAACCCCUAGUUUUCUAUGGUUGACCUCGGAUCGGGUAGGGAUACCCGCUGAACUUAAGCAUAUCAAUAAGCGGAGGA
rnacentral:misc_RNA from 1 species